AUGGCACAUGACAAUAGUAUUGUCCUUCAUACCUGGGCAGCCCUUGCAUCUCCUCGGUCUAUUGUGUCUUGCAAGCCAGCAUAUAAUUGCGUUCUUAGGUUUCCUUUAUGUCUUUUCAUGCAGUCUAUUUGUACUGCACUACUGCAAAAUGCCUGCAAAGGAAUCCGUAUUGAACUGCAAUUUAAGCUUUUCACACACCAGCAAGGUUUACAUGAUUUCUCUUGCAUUUUGCACCUUCUUUUAUUGUGCAAUGUAUAUUUCCUCUAUACCCAUCUUCUCCGUAGUGGAAUAACAAUGGAUACUGCACAACCAUGA
rnacentral:rRNA from 1 species